UACAGAGGGUGCAAACGUUGUUCGGAAUUACUGGGCAUAAAGCGCGCGUAGGCGGCGACGUAAGUGUAGGGUGAAAUCCCACGGCUCACCCGUGUGAACAGCCCCGCAUACUGCGUUGCUUGAGUGUGGUAGGGGAGAGCGGAACUCCUGGUGGAGCGGUGAAAUGCGUAGAUAUCAGGAGGAACACCGGUGGCGUAGGCGGCUCUCUGGUCCAUAACUGACGCUGAAGUGCGAAAGCUAGGGUAGCGAACGGG
rnacentral:rRNA from 1 species